CCUCCUUAUCUUGAUGUAGAACAAUACGAUGGUUUUGGUUUACCAAAACACGAGUGCUUACACAAAUUACAUGAUAACGAAUUAGAAGAAGUCCAAACAUACUAGCUUCGGACGUUCUUGAAAGAGAAUCAUAGGUCUGUAGCUCAGCUGGUUAGAGCGCACCCCUGAUAAGGGUGAGGUCGGCAGUUCAAGUCUGCCCAGACCUACCACUUUGAGUUUACUCUGAGUGAUUUCGCAAGAGUUAAGUCAACGACUGGUUGCAUUAACGGUGAUGAUUAAUUUCACCAUAAGUAAAUGUUAACGCAUAGUAUGUAUCCCAUGAGGGGCUAUAGCUCAGCUGGGAGAGCGCCUGCCUUGCACGCAGGAGGUCAGCAGUUCGAUCCUGCUUAGCUCCACCACUUCUUCAUAAAGAAAGGCCAAAUUUAAGGUGUUCAUUUGAACAAUUUAGAUUUGGUUUUUUAAGCCAAGUCAUAGCCGAAUGCGUGCUAAUGAUACGCUCUUAACAAUCUGA
rnacentral:tRNA from 1 species